rnacentral:rRNA from 1 species
UACGUAGGGUGCGAGCGUUAAUCGGAAUUACUGGGCGUAAAGUGUGCGCAGGCGGCAGAGCAAGUCGAGUGUGAAAGCCCCGGGCUUAACUUGGGAAUUGCGCUCGAAACUACUUUGCUGGAGUGUGGCAGAGGAAGGUGGAAUUCCACGUGUAGCGGUGAAAUGCGUAGAUAUCAGGAGGAACACCGGUGGCGAAGGCGG